ensembl:misc_RNA Y_RNA Y RNA
GGCUAGAGUGAAGGUAGUGAGUUAUCUCAAUUGAUUGUUCACAGUCAGUUACAGAUUGAACUCCUUUUUCUACUCUUUCCCCUACAGAACUUGACUAGUCCAAA